rnacentral:rRNA from 1 species
UACGGAGGGAGCUAGCGUUAUUCGGAAUUACUGGGCGUAAAGCGCACGUAGGCGGCUUUGUAAGUAAGAGGUGAAAGCCCAGAGCUCAACUCUGGAAUUGCCUUUUAGACUGCAUCGCUUGAAUCAUGGAGAGGUCAGUGGAAUUCCGAGUGUAGAGGUGAAAUUCGUAGAUAUUCGGAAGAAGCACCAGUGGCGAAGGCGGCUGACUGGACAUGUAUUGACGGUCUGAGGUGCGAAAGCGUGGGGAGCAAACAGG